AGAGUUUGAUCAUGGCUCAGGACGAACGCUGACGGUGUGCUUUAGGCAUGCAAGUCGAACGAGAAAGCCCUUCGGGGUGAGUAAAGUGGCGAACGGGUGAGUAACACGUGGGCAACCUGCCCCUCGCAGGGGGACAACCGGAGGAAACUCCGGCUAAUACCCCGUACGCUUGUUGGAUCGCAUGGUCCGGCAAGGAAAGGUAGCUUCGGCCAUCCGGCGAGGGAUGGGCCCGCGUUGCAUUAGCUAGUUGGUGGGGUAACGGCCUACCAAGGCGACGAUGCGUAGCUGGUCUGAGAGGAUGAUCAGCCACACUGGGACUGAGACACGGCCCAGACUCCUACGGGAGGCAGCAGCCAGGAAUCUUGGGCAAUGGGCGAAAGCCUGACCCAGCAACACCGUGUGGGCGAUGAAGGCUUUAGGGUCGUAAAGCCCUGUUGAUAGGGACGAAGGGCGAAGGGUUAAUAGCCCCUAGCUUGACGGUACCUUUCGAGGAAGCCCCGGCUAACUACGUGCCAGCAGCCGCGGUAAUACGUAGGGGGCGAGCGUUGUCCGGAAUUAUUGGGCGUAAAGAGCGUGUAGGCGGUUCGGUAAGUCUGCUGUGAAAUCCUGGGGCUCAACCCUGGGCGUGCAGCGGAUACUGCCGGGCUAGAGGGUGGUAGAGGCGAGUGGAAUUCCGAGUGUAGCGGUGAAAUGCGCAGAUAUUCGGAGGAACACCAGUAGCGAAGGCGGCUCGCUGGGCCACACCUGACGCUGAGACGCGAAAGCGUGGGGAGCGAACAGGAUUAGAUACCCCAGUAGUCC
rnacentral:rRNA from 1 species